rnacentral:lncRNA from 1 species
CGAUUUAAGUGUCGUAGAAACAACAAUUGGUCAGUACAAAUUCCUACUAAAUAAGCUGGCGACACGAAUUUCGGAUCGGAGGGAGUACAAAAAAACGUUUCUUCAGAAUGACCCAAUUUGGAGCAUUUCAAUUUCAGCGCGGCAGAAGAAUUUAACAUGCAAGAUCGCUUACCUCAACGAGAUAAGAAGAAACCACACCGCUCGGCCGACUAGUGCUGCACAACAGCUAGGGAGAAACACUCGAGACUAAGGGGCCCUUUGGAGUCUCUCCACUCUCCAACUCCACGCCGGAGCGGAGCAGGAUCUAGUUUUAAUUUGAGGAGUGGCUGGAAGGCCGCUUCGCAGGCUCCGCUCUGUGGCGAUUUGCCGAACUGGGCCUAAGCUAGCUUCCGGGGAAGUCAC